rnacentral:rRNA from 1 species
GACGAACGCUGGCGGCGUGCCUAAUACAUGCAAGUCGAACGGAACUCUGGUAUUGAUUGGUGCUUGCAUCAUGAUUUACAUUUGAGUGAGUGGCGAACUGGUGAGUAACACGUGGGAAACCUGCCCAGAAGCGGGGGAUAAACACCUGGAAACAGAUGCUAAUACCGCAUAACAACUUGGACCGCAUGGUCCGAGUUUGAAAGAUGGCUUCGGCUAUCU